rnacentral:rRNA from 1 species
GACGAACGCUGGCGGCGUGCUUAACACAUGCAAGUCGAACGGAAAGGCCCUGCUUGCAGGGUACUCGAGUGGCGAACGGGUGAGUAACACGUGGGUGAUCUGCCCUGCACUUCGGGAUAAGCCUGGGAAACUGGGUCUAAUACCGGAUAGGAGCCAUUUUUAGUGUGAUGGUUGGAAAGUUUUUUCGGUGUAGGAUGAGCUCGCGGCCUAUCAGCUUGUUGGUAGGGUAAUGGCCUACCAAGGCGGCGACGGGUAGCCGGCCUGAGAGGGUGGACGGCCACAUUGGGACUGAGAUACGGCCCAGACUCCUACGGGAGGCAGCAGUGGGGAAUAUUGCACAAUGGGCGCAAGCCUGAUGCAGCGACGCCGCGUGGGGGAUGACGGCCUUCGGGUUGUAAACUCCUUUCGCUAGGGACGAAGCUUUUUGUGACGGUACCUAGAUAAGAAGCACCGGCUAACUACGUG